rnacentral:rRNA from 1 species
UGAAGUAAGUAAGGGCGUACGGUGAAUGCCUUGGUGCCAACAGGCGAAGAAGGACGCGGCAAGCUGCGAAAAGCCUCGGGAAGCUGCAAGCAAGCGAUGAUCCGGGGAUAUCCGAAUGGGGUAACCUGAUCGAGGCAAUACUCGAUCGUUCAUACCUGAAUACAUAGGGUAUGAAACGCGAAACCCGCUGAAGUGAAACAUCUCAGUAAGCGGAGGAAAAGAAAGAGAAAUCGAUUCCGUAAGUAGUGGCGAGCGAAAGCGGAUGGAGCCCAAACCGAAGGUAUUCCUUCGGGGUUGUAGGACCACGUCAUAUUCGACCAUACUGGAUAGUAGAACAGCCUGGAAAGGCUGGCCGGAGAAGGUGAAAGCCCUGUAGACGAAAUCCAGAGUGGGAAUUAGUGGUAUCCUGAGUAAUACAUCACACGUGGAACGAUGUAUGAACCCGCGCGGACCACCGCGCAAGGCUAAAUACUAGUUGGCGACCGAUAGUGAACAAGUACCGCGAGGGAAAGGUGAAAAGAACCGCUGUGAGCGGAGUGAAAUAGAACCUGAAACCGUAUGUCUACAAAGUGUCAGAGCAGAGCAAUCUGCGAUGGCGUGCCUUUUGUUUAAUGAGUCUGCGAGUCAGUGUUUGUGGCAAGACUAAGGGCUUCCGGCCCGGAGUCGCAGCGAAAGCAAGUCCGAACAGGGCGCAAUAAGUCGCAGGUACUGGACCCGAAGCGGAGGUGACCUACCCUUGGCCAGGUUGAAGCAUGGGUAAAACCAUGUGGAGGACCGAACAGGUGAACGUUGAAAAGUUCUCUGAUGAGCUGAGGGUAGGAGUGAAAGGCUAAUCAAACCCCGUGAUAGCUGGUUCUCUUCGAAAUGCAUUUAGGUGCAGCGUCACGUGCUGAUGCGCGGGGGUAGAGCACUGACAAGGCUAGGGGGCACACCCGCUUACCAAACCUUAUCAAACUCCGAAUACCGUGCAAUGGAACGUGGCAGUGAGACAGUGGGGGAUAAGCUUCAUUGUCGAGAGGGAAACAACCCAGACCAGCAGCUAAGGUGCCUAAAUAACGCUCAGUGGAAAGGAUGUGGGAUUACACAGACAGUGAGGAUGUUGGCUUAGAAGCAGCCACCAUUUAAAAAAUGCGUAAUAGCUUACUCAUCGAGUGAUCCUGCGCCGAAAAUGAUUGGCGAUCAAGCGUUAUACCGAAGCUCUGGACUUUGCCGCAAGGCAGAGUGGUAGAAGAGCGUUGCAUGCGCGUCGAAGGGCGAUGGCGACUGACCCUGGAGCACAUGCAAGUGAGUAUGCAGACAUGAGUAACGUUAAGCCGGGUGAAAUCCCCGGCCGCCGUAAACCCGAGGUUUCCAGGGCAACGUGUUUCGUCCCUGGGUUAGCCGGGACCUAAGCCGAGGCCGAGAGGCGUAGGCGAUGGACAUCAGGUUAAUAAUCCUGAGCUCGCAACCCUUAAACUGGGGGGACGCAUGAGAAAAGAUGACUAGGUUAUUGAAUUCCGAGUUGAGUCUACGGACUCAGCGCAUCAUUGGAUCGAGUGCCAAGAAAAGCCCCAGCGUAUGCUAAGCGACCCGUACCGCAAACCGACACAGGUGGGUGGGUAGAAUAUACCAAGGCGUAAGAGUGAAACCUGGUUAAGGAACUCGGCAAAUUAGCCCCGUAACUUCGGAAGAAGGGGUGCCUGCAGCGAUGCAGGCCGCAGAGAAAUGGCCCAACCGACUGUUUAUCAAAAACACAGCACUCUGCAAAGACGCAAGUCGAAGUAUAGGGUGUGACACGUGACCAAUGCCGAAAGAUUAAGGCAAGGGGUUAGCCGCAAGGCGAAGCUCUAAACCCAAGUCCCGGUGAAUGUCGGCCGUAACUAUAACGGUCCUAAGGUAGCGAAAUUCCUUGUCGGGUAAGUUCCGACCUGCACGAAUCGUGAAACGAGUUGGGCACUGUCUCAACCAGGCGCUCAGUGAAAUUGUAGUGGCGGUGAAGAUGCCGCCUACCCGCAGAAGGACGGAAAGACCCUAUAGACCUUAACUGUAAGCUGUCAUUGUUUCUUCGGUUUUAAUGCUCAGAGUAAGUGGGAGACGCUGAAGACGCCCUUUAGGGGGCGUCCGAGUCAUCAAUGAGACACCACCCUUUGAAACUGGAGGAUCUAACCCUGAGCCGUGAAUCCGGCCAGAGGACCGUGUCAGCCGGUCAGUUUUACUGGGGCGGUAUCCUCCCAAAGAGUAACGGAGGAGCGCGAAGGUGGGCUCAGCCCGGUUGGCAACCGGGUGUCGAGUGCAUGGGCAUAAGCCCGCCUAACUGUGAGACCAACAAGUCGAGCAGAUGCGAAAGCAGGCCCAAGUGAUCCGGCGGUAGAAAGUGGAAUUGCCGUCGCUCAACGGAUAAAAGGUACCUUAGGGAUAACAGGCUGAUCACGCCCAAGAGUUCAUAUCGACGGCGUGGUUUGGCACCUCGAUGUCGGCUCGUCGCAUCCU